rnacentral:misc_RNA from 1 species
CGAUUGUCCUCAUAUUUUCAAGCAUGUAUUCUUUCUUAGCAUGAUCAACAGUUAGGAGAGCAGUACAAGGUUCACAGCUUGGUUUCAAGGGAUGGUGAAACACAUGUCAUGAUAUUCACCUUUGCCCAUCUGAUAUAUUGCAAUAUCCCGAUUAAACAAAUGCACGUCUAACAUGUUUGAUACACAGUAUGAUAGUACAGCUGGACUAUGCGGUGGUAUGAAUGGGCUGGUGGCUAGAUCAGAGGAAGUCGGACAUAAUAAUUUAACCGGGUCAUCAUGAAAAUAGACAUGUAUUCUAAACUAAUAACUGUCUGUGCUGUAUUCACUUUCAGUUCAACACUUCAUUAUGAAGGGGUCAGCGGAGCUAAGAUUCUUAUAUCUGCGAUAUACGGCGAGGGGAGUCAUUUCUUGGCUGCGUCAGCCAUAGGGGAAAGCCUUUUGAAGAGAGGCCAUGAGGUCACAUUUCUCAUCAGCAACGCAUAUGAUCAUCGCGCUAAAGAUCCCAAGUAUGACAAGUUUUCAUUUGAAAUUUUCAAUCAUUCAGUACCAGCUGAGAGAGUGCAAAGGAUUAUGAACGCUGCCAAUCAUGUAGCAUUUCAAGAGAGCAAUGACCAGUUUAGUAACUUGACGAAAUCGAUUAUGGAGCUGACUGGCCAGAGCUGUAAGAAUGUCAUCACAGACCGAGCACUUAUGCGUAGGUUAAAAGCAAUGGAUGCCAUCAUGAUGGACAUAUCAUGGCCAUGUGGUAUUUACAUCAAAGCUGCUCUUCAAAAAGACAGAGAAAUCCCCAAAGAUCUGAAGAUGAUCGCAAACUCUCCUACGACUCUCUGGAGUGGUUUCGUGUCGGCCUCAGGUUCUCCAUUUAACUUCGCCUAUAUGCCUGAAACAAUGACUGGUUUUACGAAUCGUAUGAACUUCUUACAGAGACUAAAAAACAUCGUUCAGUCUAUCUUGAUACAGGCCAGUAUUGAUUCAUCAAUGUUAUAUUCGUUUCGAAAAAUGGAAAGAGAAGUCGGUCUGCAGAAUAUUGUUGAUCCAUUUUAUGGCUAUACAGAUUUUGAUCUGUACCUGAGUAACAUUCAUUUCUCCUCUGACUUUCCUGUACCAAUGGUGCCGAAUCUUAUAUCAGUUGGAGGACUAACAGCUAAACCUGCUGGUAGAUUGCAGAAUGAACUUGAAGAAUUCGUUCAGAGCUCUGGAGACCAUGGCGUCAUUGUCUUCACCCUUGGUACCUAUCUGGCAUCUAUUACAACGAUCAGACCCGAAAUAGUAACGAUGUUUGCCGAAGCUUUCCGAAGAUUGCCACAAAAGGUCAUCUGGCAGUUAAAGGAACUCCCCGAUUGGGAGUUACCAUCCAAUGUGAAAGCUAUGCCAUGGUUACCUCAAAACGACCUCCUUGGUCAUCCAAAGACACGAGUAUUCAUGUACCAAGGAGGAAAUAAUGGUUUUCAAGAAGCGUGUUACCACGGAGUACCAAUCGUAGUCAUUCCUCUUCAAGGAGAUCAAUAUGAUGUCGCUGCUAGGAUCGAAGCAAGGGGUCUGGGUAAAAAGAUUGAAAAACUAGAACUCAACGCAGACAUCAUCUAUGAUACACUUACUGAAGUUAUCAAUAACCCAAGUUACAACGAGGUUGCAGAUAAAGUUUCUGCAAUUUACAAGGACCAGCCAAUGAGCGCUCCGGAUCGAGCUGCCUUUUGGAUAGAACAUGUCAUCAAGUUUGGUGGAGCUUAUAUGAGAUCUCCAGCUAAUGAUCUUACAUUCAUUCAAUAUCAUCUUAUAGAUGUAUAUGCCUUCCUCACUGCGAUAGUCGUUGUAUUUCUAGCUGUAGUCUAUUAUACUCUUAAAUUUUGUGUUUCUCUGUGUUGUCGUAUGAUAGGACGUGGCAGCAGUGGAAAAUCAAAGACUGAAUAACCAUGAUAAGUGUAGGUAAAUCUGGUAAACAUGUGUAAUCAAACAAUAUUGUUGCCUCAACUGGUAGAGCGGCCGCCUCGUAAUUGGGGAUCGUUGGCCGAGUCGAGCUAGGGGACUUUCAAAAUCGGACCUUUACCUGUUCGCAAGGUGCUCGGUAUUUUAUGAUAGAGGAGGGUCUUCUGUGCUGGUAUCAUUAUCAUCAUUAAGAGUGAAACACUUUUCCAUCAACUGUCUUCCAAAAAUAUUACAAGUUCCUAUUUUUUUUAGAACCAAAACUAUAAAUUCUUUGAUUUAUUUUGUCCUCUUAUGCAAAAUAUGGAUCGGGCAACUUGUGGUCUUACCAUUUAAAAGGGAGAUUUUCACACAGUGCCGCAGAGAAUGGAUCUUACAACACAUCAGCAAAUGCAUUCAAAAUGCAAGUCAAAUCACAUUCAGAGUUGACCUAAAAUUGCAAUUAUGUCGUUGGUCUAGAGUCACGAUCGAAACUGCCUUUUCAAUUCACCUACCCGGCCUCGACAAAGACCGAGGUGUGAUUUGAUACUGGCCUCGACAAAGACCGAGAUGUGAUUUGAUUUACACUGUCAAUGCAUUUGCUGCGUUAAUUCAUUCUGCAUCGUUGUAUAAAACACGGGCGUCAAUCCGGGGGGGGAUACAUCCCCCACACUUUUCGAAGGGGUUGACAUGUACAAUCACCCCCGACCACUUUUCAAGAUAGAAACAAAUAUCUAUAUUUUCAAUAAUCAAUUGGUUAAUACUACUGUUAAUGUUUGGGGGUCCGGAUUCAUCUUUGAAUGCAGUCAAAGUGUAAAUUGGCCUACAUGCAAAAUUUCUCGCGCGGUCGCUCGGCUCCCGCGCUCAAUCUAUUCUUACAAGAAUUUUGCCGUGACAAAUCCCUACGUUAUUUGCAAGGUUAUAUCUUCUGCAUCAUCAUGAUCAUGGAGAUUCGUUAAGAUAUGUCCAUUUUAUGAAUAUGUAAAUGUUUUGAAUAUCAUAAUUUGUAUCAUAAACGAAUAAAAACAUACUUUAAGUACACUUUGUAAAUAUGGGAUAUCUUUCUGGAAGCGGGUGAUUUUGUAAAAAA